rnacentral:rRNA from 1 species
GACGAACGCUGGCGGCGUGCUUAACACAUGCAAGUCGAACGGAAAGGCCCUGCUUUUGCGGGGUGCUUGAGUGGCGAACGGGUGAGUAACACGUGAGUAACCUGCACUUGACUUUGGGAUAACUUCAGGAAACUGGGGCUAAUACAGGAUAGGAGCUCCUGAUGCAUGGUGGGGGAUGGAAAGAUUCGGCGGUGGGGGCUGGACUCGAGGCUUAUCCGCUUGUUGGUGGGGUAGUGGCUUACCAAGGCUGUGACGGGUAGCCGGCCUGAGAGGGUGACCGGCCACAUUGGGACUGAGAUACGGCCCAGACGCCUACGGGAGGCAGCAGUGGGGAAUAUUGCAGAAUGGGCGGGAGCCUGAUGCAGCAACGCCGCGUGCGGGAUGACGUCCUUCGGGUUGUGAACCGCUUUCGCCUGUGACGAAGCGAGAGUGACGGUAAUGGGUAAGGAAGCACCGGCUAACUACGUG